GGAGGGAUGGCCGAGUGGUCGAAGGCGCACGCCUGGAAAGUGUGUAGGCGGGGAACCGUCUCGAGGGUUCGAAUCCCUCUCCCUCCGCCA
rnacentral:tRNA from 1 species